AAGAAAAAACGAAAUCAAAAGAAGGCUGGAAUUUCUCAGCAAGUGUUUGCUACUAAUCAAGGUGGGAUGGAAAGUGGCAAGGAGAGAGCAGCAGAGCUUUGAUUUGUUGUGGCCAUCACACUUGACAAAGAAGAGUGUACAUCGGGAGUGGUGGAUGCCCAGGUGGAUUUGUGUUGGCCGGUACGCAAUAACCAUUGGGAAGGGAAAAGCCCACGCUGUCUCCACGAGCCUGGCACACACCGAGCUCAAUCCUGCGAGGAUUAUUUUUCGAAGUAAUGAGUUAGACGUUUGUUGCAAAGGAGAGACUGCAUUGAACAUUUAGCUUGCAGGACCUUGGUAAGAUAAUAUUAAAAUAGUAAGCU